GGGGGGACUUGAGUAUGCCUGAGGUGUGCAGAAGCACUGGUGGCACAAGCGUAGGACCCUUUCGGGAUUUGCAAGAUGCUUAACUGUGCCCCACCAGUUACCGCCGAGGAAUGCAGUUGGUAUGCAAAGUGGCUUAAUUGACCUACAGGUUGGUUGAGUUUUAAAACCCGGUACCGAUGCAAGACAGAGGAAAACAGAUCUGACAGAUCCAGGAUGAGGCUGUGUGGUUUACGCAAACACGGACAAAAAACAUCCGGGGACAGAAUGGCCUCACGUGGAAAACGGCCUGGUGAUUAGACAGAUAAAUGGAUGGAUGGAUGGAUGGAUGGAUGGGUGUUAGCUGAGAGGGAGCAAGGGGAAAGGCAGACCCCAGGAGCUUUUGGAUUAUGUAUGUAGAACCCAACACCCUGGGCGUACGGAAGGUGUUCUAGACGGGCGCUGGACACUGACAAGUCAACCCAGGACCGGAGAGAAUGUGUCGAUUCUUUCUAAAGAGUUACUCCACACCUGGAUGUGGCGGAGUUGGCUGUAGAAGUCAUCAGUUGAGUUGGGUCACGAUGGAAAACAUUUGUGCACGAAGUCUGUAGUUGUUAGGUUCUGAGUGUGCACUGAGCCAUCAUAUUCCUGGCUUUGAAUUGCCACCCCAGGAAGGAACCUUGGGUGCAUUAUUUAACCUCUCUGGAUCUCGGUUUCCUCAUGUACGAAUGAAUGCCUGUUUCAUGGAGAGGAUGGAAUGAGGCAUAUAGUUAGAACUUGGUCCCUGGUCGGGAUUACCCUUGUGUGUAUUACUUUUUUCAACCUAUUUUAAUCGUCAGGGAACAUCGUGCCAGGUCCCUGCUAGACGCUAAGGAUAAAGACUUCUUUGUUUCAUUUUACAAAUGUUUGCUGAGCACCUACUGUGUGCCUGGAAGACACUAAGUCCUGGAGGUUGGACUUAGGGGGAAACAGACAAGACCCCUGCCCACAAGGUGCCUCUAGCCUGGCAAGGAAGACGGGCAUUCAAAUAAUUAACGUACUUAGCAUAAAGAGGUCUGUGAUGAGCCAGCCCAAUGGGCUGGACACAAAGAGUAUCGAGGCCUCUGCAAAUGGGAAAACUGAAGCACAGAAAAGGGAGACGUGCCCAGGUCCCCUCACCCCGUGGGUGGCAAGAGCCUCAACUGGAACACAGACCAGCCUGACUCCAAAGUCCACAUCCUUUCUCAACAACGCACAGCGGUGGCUGUGUGUUCCAAGCUUCUGGACGAAGACAUCAGGCUGGGCAGAGUUGAGAAAAUGCACAGACACAGAGGGAGUCAUUUUUCAGAGUCUCCAAUUUGGGAAAGAUGUAACUUCUGGGAUCCAGAGGAGAGGAUUUGAGAAGAGUCAGCGCCUGCUGCCCCCCGAGGGGUGCUGGGUGAUUCUCGGUGGAUGGAUAACUGGGGAAAUGACAACGUCAGUACGUCUAGCCUUAUCUCCCAGCCUGCCGCUCUGUCAGAGGAAAUGAGGUUUGCUUGGCACAUCUACUCUUUAUGAUGUCAUUUUGGCUGUGGUCUGCGUGUCUUGCUCCCCUAGAUGCAGCAUCGGCAGAGUGUUCUUGGCAUCACCACACUCUUGGCAAGUGCUUCGCGUUUCAUCUAGAACUCAGAGACCGUUCUAGUUGCACAGAAGGCUGAGAACAAGACGGCCUCCAGCCCAGAGAGGUCUGGGCUGGCUGCCGGGGGCUGACUUCCCCAGGACUCAUCCCCAGCCCCUCCAACUGCACCCCUUCUGGAAGAUUGCCUCACUCCAACCUCAACACCCCCCUUGCCUUGGAAGGUGCUCUUCCUUCCCCCUGGAAUAUUCCUCAUCACUGUUCUAUGCCCUAGAUCACCUGGGCUGGGAUCCAGGUGCCUCUGCCUGAGCUAAGUCCCUGCUCUGUGCCCCCAGGGCACCGUGGAUUCGCCCAACCAUGCAUGACAUCCAGGACACUGGAAUGCUCUGCUCUCUGUCUGGCUGCCUCCCGGCCGGUACCCUCCAGGAGGGCAGGGACAGGGACCACGAAACCCUCAGUGGAUGUUUGCAGAGUAGACACAUGGAGAUUGGCUGGUUCCUCUCAUUUUCUAGCCCUACCUCCCUCAGAGGCAAUACCUUCAGAUGGCAAUAUAUUCAUUUCAUCUGGACCCACUUCUGACAGCCAUUUUGUUUAGUAACAUAGAUGCUGGAAUGACGUGCCUGUUGAUUUUUUUGGGGGGGUUGGGUUUG